rnacentral:rRNA from 1 species
UACGUAGGGGGCAAGCGUUGUCCGGAUUUAUUGGGCGUAAAGAGCGUGUAGGCGGCCAUACAGGUCCGUUGUGAAAACUCGAGGCUCAACCUCGAGACGUCGAUGGAAACCGUUUGGCUAGAGUCCGGAAGAGGAGAGUGGAAUUCCUGGUGUAGCGGUGAAAUGCGCAGAUAUCAGGAAGAACACCCGUGGCGAAGGCGGCUCUCUGGGACGGUACUGACGCUGAGACGCGAAAGCGUGGGGAGCGAACGGG